CAAGUGACCCCGGUCUAACCACCGGGAUGUUCAUAACCCUUUGUUGUCCGACUCUGUUGCCUCCGGGGCGACCCUGCCUUCGGGCGGGGGCUCCGGGUGGACACUUCAAACUCUUGCGUAACUUUGCAGUCUGAGUAAACUUAAUUAAUAAAUUAAAACCUUUAACAACGGA
rnacentral:misc_RNA from 1 species